rnacentral:tRNA from 1 species
GUAUGCUGUUCUUUCGUUGUGAAUGCUCAACUGUCAGUCAUGAGGUCGAGGGUUCGAACCCCUCCAGAUCCACCA